AACGAACGCUGGCGGCAGGCCUAACACAUGCAAGUCGAACGCCCUAGCAAUAGGGAGUGGCAGACGGGUGAGUAACGCGUGGGAACCUUCCCUAUGGUGCGGAAUAACUCGCCGAAAGGCGUGCUAAUACCGCAUAAGCCCGCAAGGGGAAAGAUUUAUCGCCAUAGGAUGGGCCCGCGUAGGAUUAGCUAGUUGGUGAGGUAAUGGCUCACCAAGGCGACGAUCCUUAGCNGGUUUGAGAGAAUGACCAGCCACACUGGGACUGAGACACGGCCCAGACUCCUACGGGAGGCAGCAGUGGGGAAUCUUGGACAAUGGGCGCAAGCCUGAUCCAGCCAUGCCGCGUGAGUGACGAA
rnacentral:rRNA from 1 species